GAUGUUUGCAAGGCAUGCCAAGCGCAGCACAGUGUUACCUGAUGAUGUGAAGCUGCUUGUGAGGAUAAGUCCAAAAUUGCUGGAACACAUCAACUCGCUCCACAGACAGCUCACAGCCAACAAGGAGGAGCCCAGCAGGGAGAGGGGAGCCAGGCUGGACAAGAAGAAGUCCGUGGCUGCAGCAGAAUCCAACUGUGAGACAGAUGAGAACUCCAAUAUGUAGGAUUUUAAAAAUGCAGAUAUUUAGAA